rnacentral:antisense_RNA from 1 species
CUUGAUGGAACCGAGCCAGAGGGGCUCGGAGCGGUCCUGGCCGUAGGUGGCGAGCAGGGCCUGGGCCUC